AUUGAACGCUGGCGGAAUGCUUUACACAUGCAAGUCGAACGGCAGCACGGACUUCGGUCUGGUGGCGAGUGGCGAACGGGUGAGUAAUAUAUCGGAACGUGCCCAGUCGUGGGGGAUAACGUAGUGAAAAUUACGCUAAUACCGCAUACGAUCUAAGAAUGAAAGCGGGGGAUCGCAAGACCUCGCGCGAUUGGAGCGGCCGAUAUCAGAUUAGGUAGUUGGCAGGGUAAAGGCCUACCAAGCCAACGAUCUGUAGCUGGUCUGAGAGGACGACCAGCCACACUGGAACUGAGACACGGUCCAGACUCCUACGGGAGGCAGCAGUGGGGAAUUUUGGACAAUGGGCGCAAGCCUGAUCCAGCCAUUCCGCGUGCAGGAUGAAGGCCCUCGGGUUGUAAACUGCUUUUGUACAGAACGAAAAGGUUUCUACUAAUACUAGGAGCUCAUGACGGUACUGUAAGAAUAAGCACCGGCUAACUACGUGCCAGCAGCCGCCGUAA
rnacentral:rRNA from 1 species